GACGUAGGGCGCGAGCGUUGUCCGGAUUUAUUGGGCGUAAAGAGCUCGUAGGCGGCUUGUUGCGUCGGCUGUGAAAACCCAUGGCUCAACCGUGGGCUUGCAGCCGAUACUGGCAGGCUUGAAUUCGGGAGAGGGAUGCGGAAUUCCAGGUGUAGCGGUGAAAUGCGUAGAUAUCUGGAGGAACACCGGUGGCGAAGGCGGCAUCCUGGACCGAGAUUGACGCUGAUGCGCGAAAGCCAGGGGAGCAAACGGG
rnacentral:rRNA from 1 species